rnacentral:rRNA from 1 species
GACGAACCGUGCGAACGUUGUUCGGAAUCACUGGGCUUAAAGGGCGCGUAGGCGGUUGAUCAAGUCUGGGGUGAAAUCUUUCGGCUUAACCGGAAAAGUGCCUUGGAUACUGGUCAGCUGGAGGGAGGUAGGGGCAGUUGGAACUUCCAGUGGAGCGGUGAAAUGCGUUGAUAUUGGAAGGAACGCCGGUGGCGAAAGCGAGCUGCUGGACCUCUUCUGACGCUGAGGCGCGAAAGCUAGGGGAGCAAACGGG